rnacentral:lncRNA from 1 species
AUGGAGUUUCUCUCCUUCAGACGUGACGCAGGGCCACCAGAUAGGACUCCUGCCUGCGGCUGCAUGCUUCUCAUCCGCCCGGCUGCCUCUCCCAGUCUGACUCCACAGGGGACCGUGUUGUCAAAGCUAGAGCUUAAUUUUUUUUGGCCUGGAAGAGAUUUACCCUCUUUUCAAGCUGUGUCAUGGUGCUAUAUUCUCUGUCUAAUCUUGAACGUAAGGAAUGCAUCAAAGGACAAGUGGACCAAAUUCCUUCAAUGGACUCUCAGAUAUGUUCUCCAGCCACACAUUAGAGAACCCAGGACAGAGCGAGUUGGUUGUGGUGGAUCGGUUCCACUGCUGUCCCUGGAACUUGGGAGAAAGGUGCACACCACGGUAGUGUUGGAUAACCGCCCUGGUCACCAUGAUCCAGUUGCUUUGUGCUCCUUGUUCUUUCUCAACCACUGAUCCAUACCAGCUUCAAUGGUCUGAAGAAAGCAAUAAAUCAGAGUGAG